rnacentral:rRNA from 1 species
AGUGAACGCUGGCGGUAGGCCUAACACAUGCAAGUCGAACGGCAGCACAGUAAGAGCUUGCUCUUACGGGUGGCGAGUGGCGGACGGGUGAGGAAUACAUCGGAAUCUACUUUUUCGUGGGGGAUAACGUAGGGAAACUUACGCUAAUACCGCAUACGACCUACGGGUGAAAGCAGGGGAUCUUCGGACCUUGCGCGAUUGAAUGAGCCGAUGUCGGAUUAGCUAGUUGGCGGGGUAAAGGCCCACCAAGGCGACGAUCCGUAGCUGGUCUGAGAGGAUGAUCAGCCACACUGGAACUGAGACACGGUCCAGACUCCUACGGGAGGCAGCAGUGGGGAAUAUUGGACAAUGGGCGCAAGCCUUAUCCAGCCAUACCGCGUGGGUGAAGAAGGCCUUCGGGUUGUAAAGCCCUUUUGCUGGGAAAGAAAAGCAGCAGGUUAAUACCCCGCUGUUCUGACGGUACCCAAAGAAUAAGCACCGGCUAACUUCGUG